UCUGCUGUUUUUGUGCUCUGCCUCUGAGGAUUCAGGCCGGAUAGUAUUUCAUGGUGACAUCGCCACAGCUCGGAGCAGCCCAUUGUCUUUUCUGAGCACCAUCAGUUUUGAAAGGGCAAUGCUUUUGGAAGGCGAUUGAACCGUGUGGCGAUAUAGUAGACUUGCUGUUAAGAGAUGGGGUCCGGUUGGAAGAGGAGCGUCAUGGCGGCGUGGCCUGGAAGGGUUCCCCUCCCUCUCCUACUCCUCCCUCCCUCUCUUCCUGUGUGCCAUGAGUCAGAGCCUUUCGUCAGCUCGUUCUGGAGUCGCACCUUUGCAUCUGCAUGGCUGGGAGGAACGCCUGGCCCUGCGCCACCCCACUGCUGAAAGAACAGUGGCAGGUUUAAUUUCAUCCAUCAUGUGGCUCUGCAGGAUUCAACCACUGUUUCA